CACGAUUUAGGCUAUAUAUUUCCACGCCAUUAAACUUAGGGGGGUAAAUAUUUUGGAUAAAAAUCCUAAUGUUGAAAAGAGAAGGAGCAAUUGUCAUUAGUGCAUUUGAAUUUUGACAUUUGACAGACGUAAACAAUAAAAUACAUUUAAGUAUUUAUAUUUCAUGCGGAUGAAGUCGCAUGGGAACAGCUAGUUGAUAAUAAUUGUAAUAUGGUCUGUCUUUAUAAAAUAGAUACUCUACUAUCUGGGAAAACGGGUUUCCCUAAAAUAUGACUGAUUAAAACAUGACCAUUUUAAGUAUUCUAGAUUGCUAAUAAAUAGUUUCGACAUCUCCAUAGGUCUGUAUUGAAAUAUCUCCCACCGACCUCUGGUAUAGAGUUUAUCGGUUAAGUUUUGUUGCAACGUUCAAUCUUGCAUAAUAUUUUCUCCAUUUUCAAUAUUGUGCAAUUGUUUUUAGCGACAACCAACGCUUGUUUUGACUAUAGUUUGUCUAAAUAAGAUAGAUUAGUUUGACAAUUCAUGUCACAAUUUAGUAGGGAUGGUGUAUCGUCACCGCGUUCUUUAUUUUAUUAUCCCAACCGACGUUCUUCGACCCUUUGUCACAAUCCAUCCUCCUUCGCUCUUUCUUCGUCUUUUGGAACGCUUUAGUUCGGAAUUCGAAGUUUGAGUGGAGCGUUGACACAUACGAAUGCGGGGCUUAGGGAGAAGGAAGUGUGAGAUAAGUAGUGAACUAACAGUGCAGCAAGACCAUUUAAUACGCGCAGCGCAGAACAACCAGCAACUAUGGCGCUGGGAGCGAGACACAAAAGAGACACCGUAACCGUCUGUGACCCUGAAGUAUGCGUCCGUCAUGGACAGUGCGAGUCAUUUGCCCCGGAUUGUUGCUGUGAAGUACCCGAAGACUACGUAAGUUGACCACAGAUGUUCAAAUAAGUUACAGAGCUGACAUUGAAAAAUUUUCUUUUCAAAUAAUUUGUUUUUAAUCAUUAAUAAAGUUGACGUUAUCUUUAAAGAUAAAUUAUUAUUAUUCAGAUAUUUUAGAAUUAAUUCUAAAUAUCAAAUCGAUAUCAAAAUUAAGUUAUUCACUAAUAAGUUAAUAAGUACAGCUUACGUACUUAAUGGUUAGGUCUAUAGGCGUCGCCAAGGCAGCUGUCUCCACCGUCAUAAUUAAGAAUUGAUAACAAAAGUUACGUAGCCAUAACUAGGAAUAAGUUAUCAUAAGUUCACAGUAAGCCAUUCAUUGUAAGAUAAGAGCCUAUAACAAUUUCAUUGUACUUAGAUAUCUUCGUGUGUAACAUUUCGUCCGUGUGUACAUAAUCAGUUCGUCCGCAGUGCUCCUUGUGAGUAGUUCUGUUAAAUAAUAAAGUAGCGAAUACGCUAGUUAAUCGAUAGGUUAUCGAUAAUGCGACAAGCGCGCCCUCUCGUGUGACGCGUAAAAACGCAGGGGCCAAUGAGGGAGCGCGGGCGCAUGACAUUUUAGAGACAAUAAGGCGUAGAUAGAACGUAAGUUUAACUGUGUAACAUAUAAAGUAAAUAGAUGUAACCAUUGACAGACUUUUAUUGAGAAUAAUCCCAUAAAGUCUUAUUUUUUUUCAAAUACUACUUCGAGCUCCCAACCUAACUCAGAUUAAAGGUAGUUUUUGAAGGCAGAUAGGCGGAUAUGUAUAAUUGACUGGCGGCAUCUUUAGUUAAUACAUGUAAUGCUAAGUUUUUUAUUUUUUUAUUACAGAGAGUAUCCCGUUCAAUGCCUGAUGCAGUCGCAACUCCCUGGAAAUCUUUGUUAAAUUAAAAUAAAACAAUAAACACAUUUUUUUCAAAUUUUAUUACAUUAAAAACUUUUACGGUAAACGGACAGCACAGUACCUGACAUUAACACUGAUUAACGAAAUUUCAAAUAAUAUAAAAUACGCAAUAAAUGAAAAAAAUAUAAAAUCUAAACUAAAAUAACAUUUUCUUGAUAAACGAGAACUAUUCGCGCUGUUACAUCCUUGGAUUGCAUCCUAUAGUGCAGACAUAAACCCUUUUCUUGCUUACCUAGCAUAUUCAUACUCCAUAUAUACCGCUUUCCGCUACCCGACCAGUUAGUCUCAUCCCAACACCCAAACAACCCAGACGGUUGUCUAAUUUAAUCUUAUAUUCCUUUUUUUUUUAAAAACCAUUUCAACCCGAGGCUCAUAACAGCGUCAUCGUGCCGAGUAGUUAAUCGCGCUGGCAGCGCCUUAAUACAUUAAUGCAACUCAAUAAUUGCACAGCUUGUCACUAGAUGGCGCUGUAGUACAGAUACAUGGCGAUAUCGAUGUACAUUGAUGGUUUCUUGACCUCCCAACCUUAUUUGUGCUUAGUAUGAAUCGCGGUGCUUUGCAACUGCUUCACAGUAGGGACUACGCUAGACACUCUUUGUGCUUCAACCAUUGCUUGAACAUACAAGGAUCCUCAGGGUAGCUUGUGUGUUUGUCUAGCUUCUCCUAUCCCAUAGAGUUGCCUGGAAGAGAUCGCUCUUAGCUAUAAGGCCGCUCUUGCGCAAACCUAGUUAAAGUUUUCUGUCGUAUUAUUUGUGCAAAGUGUUAAAUAAAUAAACU